rfam:Hymenolepis nana genome assembly, scaffold: HNAJ_contig0007712
GGUGUGCAAUAGACUUACCUCCACGUGGUGCACUCUGGGAAACGUAUAUUAAUACGGCAAAAAAGUCUAU